rnacentral:rRNA from 1 species
AGAGACAGCAGUCGCCGCGGUAAUACGUAGGUGGCAAGCGUUGUCCGGAAUUAUUGGGCGUAAAGCGCGCGCAGGCGGCCUAUCCAGUCUGUCUUAAAAGUUCGGGGCUCAACCCCGUGAUGGGAUGGAAACUAGUAGGCUAGAGUAUCGGAGAGGAAAGCGGAAUUCCUGGUGUAGCGGUGAAAUGCGUAGAUAUUAGGAAGAACACCAGUGGCGAAGGCGGCUUUCUGGACGAAAACUGACGCUGAGGCGCGAAAGCUAGGGGAGCGAACGGGAUUAGAUACCCCAGUAGUCCCUGUCUCUUAUACA